rnacentral:rRNA from 1 species
UACGGGGGGGGCAAGCGUUGUUCGGAAUUACUGGGCGUAAAGGGCUCGUAGGCGGCCAACUAAGUCCGACGUGAAAUCCCCAGGCUUAACCUGGGAACUGCGUCGGAUACUGGUUGGCUUGAAUCCGGGAGAGGGAUGCGGAAUUCCAGGUGUAGCGGUGAAAUGCGUAGAUAUCCGGAGGAAUACCAAAGGCGAAGGCAGUGUCCUGGGGAGUGUCUGACGCUCAGGCGCGAAAGCUAGGGGAGCGAACAGG